rnacentral:rRNA from 1 species
ACUGAACCAGCCAUGCCGCGUGCAGGAAGAAGGCCUUCUGGGUUGUAAACUGCUUUGCCGGGGGAUAAAAUUCUCAUGCGUGGGAAAUUGAAGGUACCCGGUGAAUAAGCCACGGCUAACUACGUGCCAGCAGCCGCGGUAAUACGUAGGUGGCAAGCGUUGUCCGGAUUUAUUGGGUUUAAAGGGUGCGUAGGCGGCCUAUUAAGUCAGUUCUGAAAUAUCCCGGCUUAACCGGGGGGGUGGGAUUGAUACUGAUGGGCUUGAGUGGACUCGAGGUAGGCGGAAUUGACGGUGUAGCGGUGAAAUGCUUAGAUAUCGUCAAGAACACCGAUAGUGUAGACAGCUUACUAGAGUCUAACUGACGCUGAGGCACGAAAGUGUGGGGAUCAAACAGGAUUAGAUACCCUGGUAGUCCACACUGUAAACGUUGAUUACUCGCUGUGUGCGAUAUACAGUACGCGGCUUAGCGAAAGCGAUAAGUAAUCCACCUGGGGAGUACGCCGGCAACGGUG